rnacentral:rRNA from 1 species
CUGCUCAGUAACACGUGGAUAACCUGCCCUAGGGAAGGGGAUAACCCCGGGAAACUGGGGAUAAUACCCUAUAGAUUACAGAUGCUGGAAUGCCCUGUAAUCCAAAGUUCCGGCGCCUUAGGAUGGAUCUGCGGCCGAUUAGGUUGUUGUUGGGGUAACGGCCCAACAAGCCGAUAAUCGGUACGGGUUGUGGGAGCAAGAGCCCGGAGUUGGAUUCUGAGACAUGAAUCCAGGCCCUACGGGGCGCAGCAGGCGCGAAAACUUUACAAUGCGGGAAACCGUGAUAAGGGAACCCCGAGUGCCUGUAUAUGCAGGCUGUCCAGGUGUCUAAAAAACACCUGAAGAAAGGGCCGGGCAAGACCGGUGCCAGCCGCCGCGGUAAUACCGGCGGCUCGAGUGGUGGCCACUUUUAUUGGGCUUAAAGCGUUCGUAGCCGGGUUGUUAAGUCUCUUGGGAAAUCUGACGGCUCAACCGUCAGGCGUCCAAGGGAUACUGGCAAUCUUGGAACCGGGAGAGGUGAGGGGUACUUCGGGGGUAGGAGUGAAAUCCUGUAAUCCUCGAGGGACCACCUGUGGCGAAGGCGCCUCACCAGAACGGCUUCGACAGUGAGGGACGAAAGCUGGGGGAGCAAACCGGAUUAGAUACCCGGGUAGUCCCGGCCGUAAACGAUGCGCGUUAGGUGUAUCGGUGACCACGAGUCACCGAGGUGCCGAAGGGAAACCGUGAAACGUGCCGCCUGGGAAGUACGGUCGCAAGGCUGAAACUUAAAGGAAUUGGCGGGGGAGCAC